AUUGAACGCUGGCGGCAUGCCUUACACAUGCAAGUCGAACGGUAACGGGCCUUCGGGUGCCGACGAGUGGCGAACGGGUGAGUAAUACAUCGGAACGUGCCCGAUCGUGGGGGAUAACGAGGCGAAAGCUUUGCUAUUACCGCAUACGAUCUACGGAUGAGAGCAGGGGACAGCAAGGCAUUGCGCGGGCGGAGCGGCCGAUGGCGGAUUAGGUAGUUGGUGGGAUAAAAGCUUACCAAGCCGACGAUCUGUAGCUGGUCUGAGAGGAUGAUCAGCCACACUGGGACUGAGACACGGCCCAGACUCCUACGGGAGGCAGCAGUGGGGAAUUUUGGACAAUGGGCGCAAGCCUGAUCCAGCCAUGCCGCGUGCAGGAUGAAGGCCUUCGGGUUGUAAACUGCUUUUGUACGGAACGAAAAGCCUUCUUUUAAUACAGGAGGGUCAUGACGGUACCGAAAGAAUAAGCACCGGCUAACUACGUG
rnacentral:rRNA from 1 species